AUUGAACGCUGGCGGCAUGCUUUACACAUGCAAGUCGGACGGCAGCACAGAGAAGCUUGCUUCUUGGGUGGCGAGUGGCGAACGGGUGAGUAAUAUAUCGGAACGUACCGAGUAAUGGGGGAUAACUAAUCGAAAGAUUAGCUAAUACCGCAUAUUCUCUGAGGAGGAAAGCAGGGGACCUUCGGGCCUUGCGUUAUUCGAGCGGCCGAUAUCUGAUUAGCUAGUUGGUGGGGUAAAGGCCUACCAAGGCGACGAUCAGUAGCGGGUCUGAGAGGAUGAUCCGCCACACUGGGACUGAGACACGGCCCAGACUCCUACGGGAGGCAGCAGUGGGGAAUUUUGGACAAUGGGCGCAAGCCUGAUCCAGCCAUGCCGCGUGUCUGAAGAAGGCCUUCGGGUUGUAAAGGACUUUUGUCAGGGAAGAAAAGGCUGUUGCUAAUACCGACAGCUGAUGACGGUACCUGAAGAAUAAGCACCGGCUAACUACGU
rnacentral:rRNA from 1 species